AUGCAGUUGAUCCAAAACAUAGGGGUUUAUCCAUUCCACAGAGGUUCUACUUUUACCUCACGGAUGCAGUUGAUGCAUGCUCACUCCAACUCGAGGUCGGACGACGACGACGACGAGGAGCUGGCGGAAUCACUCCCCGGCUGCGAGGCCGUAAAAUCAGUGCCUGACUCUGAAAUGCCGUGGAAGUGGAACGCCUCCUCGCCUUCUUCUUCUUCUCCCAUGUCCACCGGAUCCGCCGCCCCGGCGGCCGCGGCCAGAUCCGCCGCCCCGGCUGCCUCGACGAUGUCAUCUCCCGCUUCAUCGCCGGCGAGUCCCUCCACGUCCCCGGCAGCGGCGAGCACGUGCUCUCCGGCUCCCGCGCCGCCGAGUCCCUCCACGUCCCCCGGUCCCCGGCAGCGGCGAGCACGUGCUCUCCGGCUCCCGCGCCGCCGACCUCCUCCUCCGCCGCUCCUUCGGCGAACGCUCCCGCGCCGGCGACUCCACUCUCCAGAUCCCCGGGGACGACGCCGAUGGCUCGCACGCGAGCCCGCCAGGCAAGCCCCAGGUCCCUGCCGACGACGCCCAUGGCUCGCACGCGAGCCCGCCAGGCAACCCAAAGGCGGCGUAGCCCGUAGCUGA
rnacentral:rRNA from 1 species